GUUUUUUUUUUAUUGACAGGGAUUUCAGGUAAUUUGGAGUAAAAUGGAACGGCAGUUGGUGGUAACCCUGUUUUUCAUGCAAAAAAACUCCCACAAUUUACAAAAAUGACAGCAUCAGAAUUCCACUAAAUUAAAAAUCAGAAUAAUAACUGUUACUAAAUUAAAUGCGAAAGCGAGCGAUCAGUAUCUCGGUCCUUAUCCCUCAUACGCAAUAAUAUUAUCAGUUUGUUAACAUUCUUAUCUCGUCUCGUUGGCCUUACUAUACAAUGGAUUAUGGAAAGAAUGUAUGUAUAAAAUGUAACAAAAGAAACAUUAUGUUGCUUCUUAUAUAGAAAAAGCAGUAUUUUUGCCUUGCAUACUCGUAAUCUCCUAGAGAUUCUUGAGCACUGGAAACUUAAACAUUGGCCCCUGAUCAGUAUAUAUUAUUUCAACUUCAGGAACUAAUUCUAUUAGAUUUCUAUAUCUUAUCAUUUUACAUGAAAAAAGGCUAAACACCUACGAAACACAUAAUUAUUUAGAUUAAGGUAAACACAAUACUCAAAUUCCAAAAAUGCUUUAACUUUUAACAAACCGAUUGGGUUUUUUUUUUCAGUUUGUUUCGAACGAAUUGGAUUGUUUAAAAUUUAAGAAAAUUAAAAACGUCAAAAGAACUUUGAGUUUUGUGUUUGCCAUUUUGUAUGGGAUUACGUAACUCAUCUAACUUCUCUCCAUGGAUAGAGUAUCACUACCCAUAUUAUAAAUGCGAAAGUGUUUGUUUGUUGUUUUAUUUGUUUGUCCUUCAAUCACAUCGCAACGGGGCAACGGAUAAACAUGAUUUUUACAUAGGCAAUGGACAUAGUUAAAGAACAAGAGUGCCACAAGCUACUUUAUAA